rnacentral:rRNA from 1 species
GUGGUAAUGCCGGAUGCUCCAGUUGAUCGCAUGGUCUUCUGGGAAAGCUUUCGCGGUAUGGGAUGGGGUCGCGUCCUAUCAGCUUGACGGCGGGGUAACGGCCCACCGUGGCUUCGACGGGUAGCCGGCCUGAGAGGGCGACCGGCCACAUUGGGACUGAGAUACGGCCCAGACUCCUACGGGAGGCAGCAGUGGGGAAUAUUGCACAAUGGGCGCAAGCCUGAUGCAGCGACGCCGCGUGAGGGAUGGAGGCCUUCGGGUUGUAAACCUCUUUUAUCGGGGAGCAAGCGWGAGUGAGUUUACCCGUUGAAUAAGCACCGGCUAACUACGUGCCAGCAGCCGCGGUAAUACGUAGGGUGCAAGCGUUAUCCGGAAUUAUUGGGCGUAAAGGGCUCGUAGGCGGUUCGUCGCGUCCGGUGUGAAAGUCCAUCGCUUAACGGUGGAUCCGCGCCGGGUACGGGCGGGCUUGAGUGCGGUAGGGGAGACUGGAAUUCCCGGUGUAACGGUGGAAUGUGUAGAUAUCGGAAAAGAACACCA